rnacentral:lncRNA from 1 species
AUGUGCCUCUUUUCAUCUCUCUGGGCAGAUUUCUGUCCAUACAAAUUCCCUUCACAUGGACUUCAUGUUCACAUAGUCUUUUGUCUGAUGAUGGCCACCAGUAGCUCCAGGAUGAGCCUUCUAGCUCCAAAUCAGUGGGAAGAGAGUUUCUUUUCCCCAACAGUUCCAGUAAAAAUCCUGAACCUACUCCUCAUUGGUCCAAAUGGAGUCACGUGCCCAUUCCUGAGCCAGCCAUGUGGCUGAGGAGCACAGAUAUGCUAAUUAGCUGAGUCCUCUGAAAUCCUGGAACUGGAUUGAGGAAAAGAAGGACAACCAGCCCCAUCUAAACUAGACAGAGAGUUGAGUCAGGAACGGUUCCCCAAAGAAAAGUCUGUCUUGCUGCUAUAAGAAAUGGGAGGAACAGUGAGCAAGUAAAAAAAAAGAAAGAAAUGUCCACACCAAUCAUUAAGUCUGGAAGCACAUCCAUUUUUGGUACGGCAACAAGUCUCCUGAACAGAGAGGAAGCUCAACACCAUUCGGCCAGGACAUGAGCCAGAUAAACACUCCAAUGAAAGUGUUUGAUUAUAUCCUACCUAGCUCAUGAAAGAGGCCAAGAUGGGGCAAGCAUUUAUCAUUUCCCCAGAUUAGAUCAGUUCACAGUACCAUUUUGAGAGUCUCCCUACUCUCUAUUCAAAGGACUGUAAAAAUUUUAUAUCUGUCUAUUUUCUACAUUACAUACCUUCUCAACUCUACCCUAAUGAACAUAUUUCCUCCCCCCAAUAAAUUACUUUAUUCAUUCUCUUUUGGAGAGUUGUUUACACAUAUAUUCCAGCUAGGUACUGUUCUUAAGCCCAUUGCACAGGCAAAGCUGACGCAAAACUGAUGUAGUAGCUAACAGCUUGACCUGAGUAAUGGAGCUGCCGUCAUGGCACAAACCUGCACAGUUCUCUUGAUAAUAAUCUAGAAUGAAGAGAAGCCAAAGGCCAAAGCUGGUUUGCUUUCCCUUCCUGAGAUGACAGUUCACCCUGGUUUCCUAUUUAGGUACUCAGGCAUGGUAGCUCUGUAAAUAAGUGGAAUUGUCAUUAAGUUCAUGUACACAAAUUCUGACACAUUGCAUGUUGUUCAAACUGAAGCAAAACUCAGUAGAACUACUGAAAUGGAGAGUUUUCCAGAUAUCUAAGGAUCUGUGAGUGAUAUGUGUUUCACGUUAUACUCCUGAAAGACAGAAUCCAUUUACAUAGUAUAAAGUGAAGUCAGAAAUGAAGUCUCUAUCGGUAAAAUGGUAUUGCCUGAAUGCUGUCUCAAAAUGAGAAGAAAGUUGUCUUAGCCUUGGUUCCCCAGAAAGCAGAGUUUACUUGCUACAGUUUUAUUAGAGAUAAGAGCUCCAAAGGAAGCAGUAAUGCAGGGGAAAUUAGACAAGGAAGGAAAGAGAGUAAACACAAGAGCUGGCCACCCUGAGUACAACUGACUACUCAGUCAUGCAAGACCAUCUUCUAAGGGGCCAGACAGACCACUGCAGCCCUGGAUGGCUGA